rnacentral:rRNA from 1 species
UACAGAGGGUGCAAGCGUUAAUCGGAAUUACUGGGCGUAAAGCGUGCGUAGACGGUUAUUUAAGUCAGGUGUGAAAGCCCCGGGCUCAACCUGGGAAUUGCAUUUGAGACUGAAUAGCUAGGGUGCGGAAGAGGGAAGCGGAAUUUCCGGUGUAGCGGUGAAAUGCGUAGAUAUCGGAAGGAACACCAGUGGCGAAAGCGGCUUCCUGGUCCAGCACCGACGUCAGGCACGAAAGCGUGGGGAGCAACAGG